rnacentral:rRNA from 1 species
UACGAAGGGGGCGAGCGUUGUUCGGAUUUACUGGGCGUAAAGGGCGCGUAGGCGGCCCUCUUUGUCGCGUGUGAAAGCCCCGGGCUCAACCUGGGAAUUGCGCGCGAAACGGGGGGGCUUGAGUUCGGGAGAGGAGCGUGGAAUUCCCAGUGUAGAGGUGAAAUUCGUAGAUAUUGGGAAGAACACCAGUGGCGAAGGCGGCUCACUGGCCCGAUACUGACGCUGAGGCACGAAAGCGUGGGGAGCAAACAGG